AUUGAACGCUGGCGGCAUGCUUUACACAUGCAAGUCGAACGGCAGCACGGGUGCUUGCACCUGGUGGCGAGUGGCGAACGGGUGAGUAAUGCACCGGAACGUAUCCAAUAAUGGGGGAUAACGCACCGAAAGGUGUGCUAAUACCGCAUACGCCCUGAGGGGGAAAGCGGGGGACCGAAAGGCCUCGCGUUACUGGAGCGGCCGAUGUCGGUUUAGCUAGUUGGUGAGGUAAAGGCUCACCAAGGCGAAGAUCCGUAGCUGGUCUGAACGGACGACCAGCCACACUGGGACUGAGACACGGCCCAGACUCCUACGGGAGGCAGCAGUGGGGAAUUUUGGACAAUGGGCGCAAGCCUGAUCCAGCCAUGCCGCGUGAGUGAAGAAGGCCUUCGGGUUGUAAAGCUCUUUCGCAAGGAAAGAAAACUCAUCUCCUAAUACGAGGUGAGGAUGACGGUACCUUGAUAAGAAGCACCGGCUAACUACGUGCCAGCCGCCGCGGUAA
rnacentral:rRNA from 1 species